UACGUAGGGUGCAAGCGUUGUCCGGAAUCAUUGGGCGUAAAGCGCGCGUAGGCGGCCCGAUAAGUCCGCUGUAAAAGUCAACGGCUCAACUGUUGAAAGCCGGUGGAUACUGUCGGGCUAGAGUACGGAAGAGGCAAGUGGAAUUCCUGGUGUAGCGGUGGAAUGCGCAGAUAUUAGGAGGAACACCGGUGGCGAAGGCGCCACUCUGGGCCGAAACUGACGCUGAGGAGCGAAAGCAUGGGUAGCAAACAGG
rnacentral:rRNA from 1 species